GACGAACGCUGGCGGCGCGCUUAACACAUGCAAGUCGAGCGAGAACCAGGGCUUCGGCCCUGGGGACAGCGGCGAACGGGUGAGUAACACGUGGGUAAUCUGCCCUCGGCACCGGGAUAGCCCGGGGAAACCCGGAUUAAUACCGGAUGGCCUCUCGAGCUUUCGGGCUCGUGAGAAAAGGUAGCUUCGGUCCUCCGGCCGAGGAGGAGCCCGCGGCGGAUUAGCUUGUUGGUGGGGUAAUCGGCCCACCAAGGCGACGAUCCGUAGCUGGUGUGAGAGCAUGACCAGCCACACUGGGACUGAGACACGGCCCAGACUCCUACGGGGAGGGCAGCAGGUGGGGAAGUCUUGCGCAAUGGGCGAAAGCCUGACGCAGCGACGCCGCGUGCGGGAAGAAGG
rnacentral:rRNA from 1 species